GAUGGUAGGGCUUCCUCUGUGGUCCAGUAAUGGUGACGUCCCUAACUGGCAGCCUGGGCCCCAGCGUCAGGAGUUGGGCUCAUGGUGACACAAAGGCUCCUUGGAUGCAGGAGCACAAACACCUCAGUGUGAAGGUUUCCUCUGGAGAAGGAGAAAAUGCAUUUUAGAAGAAAAUGAGUCUCUGAUCUCAGGUUUUGUCUGAUCUCUCACGAUUGGGAUGGCCUAUUCCUAGAGGGGGAGAAGACCUGGAAAACACUGCUAGACCAACUCAAAAUUACAAAGUUUUCCAGAGCUUAUAUGUCUUCUAACCCAUAUGUCUAUGUCUGCAGGAAUGUAGACAAUUCAGAGGCCUUGUUCCCCAUAAUUUGGAACUUUCCUUCAGAUUUGACCAAGUCGGGUAGAGAUGAUCAAAUCUAAUGGGAAAAAGACUGAAACAACAAAAACAGAAACAGGCA
rnacentral:lncRNA from 1 species